AUCCAGCCGAAGAGUCUCAAAUAGGACGAAACGCGCGUCAACCUGGAU
rnacentral:hammerhead_ribozyme from 1 species